rnacentral:rRNA from 1 species
UACGUAGGGUGCAAGCGUUGUCCGGAAUUAUUGGGCGUAAAGAGCUCGUAGGCGGUCUGUCGCGUCUGCUGUGAAAACUCAGGGCUUAACCCUGAGCUUGCAGUGGGUACGGGCAGACUAGAGUGCGGUAGGGGAGACUGGAAUUCCUGGUGUAGCGGUGAAAUGCGCAGAUAUCAGGAGGGAACACCGGUGGCGAAGGCGGGUCUCUGGGCAAUAACUGACGCUGGAGGAGCGAAAAGCGUGGGGAGCGAACAGG